GUAGGUGGCAAGCGUUGUCCGGAAUUAUUGGGCGUAAAGCGCGCGCAGGCGGUUCUUUAAGUCUGAUGUGAAAGCCCACGGCUCAACCGUGGAGGGUCAUUGGAAACUGGAGAACUUGAGUACAGAAGAGGAAAGCGGAAUUCCACGUGUAGCGGUGAAAUGCGUAGAGAUGUGGAGGAACACCAGUGGCGAAGGCGGCUUUCUGGUCUGUAACUGACGUUGAGGCGCGAAAGCGUGGGGAGCAAACAGGGAUUAGAUACCCUGGUAGUCCACGCCGUAAACGAUGAGUGCUAAGUGUUAGGGGGUUCCCGCCCCUUAGUGCUGCAGCUAACGCAUUAAGCACUCCGCCUGGGGAGUACGGCCGCAAGGCUG
rnacentral:rRNA from 1 species